rnacentral:lncRNA from 1 species
AAGUCGUUUACACAUUAAAAAUUAUAUGAUUUAAAAAUUUUUGACCGAUACAUCAAGUGAUAAAAAAAUAAAUAUAUUUUUAUUUUAUUUAAAAUAUCUAAUUUUUUGAUCAUUUAAUGUGUAAACUACAGAUCUUCAAAUUAUAUAAUUUUUAUUAUAUUAAUAAUUUAAAUGUUGUAAAUCAUAUCGAAUAUUUCAGACC